UUUCUUUCACUAGGGUUCUGCUUUUUCAUUUAUUUUUUUCGCUAGGGUUUUUCUUUUUUAUUUCUCAGUUUUUCAAUUAAUAAUAAUGGUGAUUUUUGAUUUGCAGAAUUCUCACUAUGUUGGAUGGAUCAACGCAUGUGAUGAUGCUGUUUUUGUUUUGUGGUAUUUGUGACUGGAAAAACUCAAGAUAGCCUUCUCCUUCAGAAACAACUUAUAGGUUUUUUUUAUUUCCAGAAAAUGAUGAUGCAAAAACGCAACGUAUAGAUCUGGUGAUUUUUUGUUUUUUUUGUUUGUUCUGUUCUGUUUUGUAUUUUAUUUUAUUUUUUUGUUAUGCUCUCUGCAAGGUUCCAUUAUCAGUAUUAGAAUCAAGAGAAAUUUUUUUUAAAAGCGCCCUGAUCAACUCCUAGAUCCCCGGGAACCAGCAUUUAACCCGCACCAAAUGUGCAAGUUUCUUCUUUUAUCGUGCUCCGGUGAGAACAUUAUAAUUCAAGCACCAAAUGGUCCAGUUUCUUCUUCUUACUUCCCACGAUGAGCGGAGAGGACAAUAUAAUCCAAGAUCAGUAGAAAAGAUUCCACAAGCCUAUAGGUGUUGAUGGCUGCGGUAACGGCACGGGAGGUCAUGAGAAUCGAUACUAAUCAUUUUUGAAGCUUCGUGUUGUUGGUGAUACUGUUAAGGGUUUCUUCGAAUACAACUGAACUAGAUGCUCUCUAAUUUCUCAAUUUGGGUUCUUAGUUAUUGGGUUAGAUAUUAAGGAGUUCGAUUAUAUUUAUAUUUAUGUUUGUUAAAAUCUGCGGGCAUCCAACUCAAAAUCAAUUGGAAAUGAAUGGAGCGUCCCUUCCAUAUUAUAUUUAAGUUAAUUAAGCGAAUUCUAGAAAUGUGUGAUUAUUGUCCUUUCACACGCCCCCUCACUCGACCUACCACGUGGACCUACGUACGAGUAACCAGUCAAUCGGUAAUAGGUGUACAGGUGAGUGAUUAAAUCGGAGGGUAACACCUCAGCCAGUA